UACGGGGGGAGCAAGCGUUGUUCGGAUUUACUGGGCGUAAAGGGCGCGUAGGCGGUCAGCACAAGUCAGUUGUGAAAUCUCCGGGCUUAACUCGGAAAGGUCAACUGAUACUGUGCGACUAGAGUGCAGAAGGGGCAACUGGAAUUCUCGGUGUAGCGGUGAAAUGCGUAGAUAUCGAGAGGAACACCUGCGGCGAAGGCGGGUUGCUGGGCUGACACUGACGCUGAGGAGCGAAAGUGUGGGGAGCGAACAGG
rnacentral:rRNA from 1 species